AUUGAACGCUGGCGGCAUGCCUUACACAUGCAAGUCGAACGGUAACAGGUCUUCGGAUGCUGACGAGUGGCGAACGGGUGAGUAAUACAUCGGAACGUGCCUAGUAGUGGGGGAUAACUACUCGAAAGAGUGGCUAAUACCGCAUGAGAUCUACGGAUGAAAGCAGGGGAUCGCAAGACCUUGUGCUACUAGAGCGGCCGAUGGCAGAUUAGGUAGUUGGUGGGAUAAAAGCUUACCAAGCCGACGAUCUGUAGCUGGUCUGAGAGGACGAUCAGCCACACUGGGAACGAGACACGGCCCAGACUCGUACGGGAGGCAGCAGUGGGGAAUUUUGGACAAUGGACGCAAGCCUGAUCCAGCAAUGCCGCGUGCAGGAUGAAGGCCUUCGGGUUGUAAACUGCUUUUGUACGGAACGAAAAGCCCUGGGUUAAUACCCUGGGGUCAUGACGGUACCGUAAGAAUAAGCACCGGCUAACUACGUGCCAGCCGCCGCGGUAAGAC
rnacentral:rRNA from 1 species